rnacentral:rRNA from 1 species
GAUGAACGCUGGCGGCGUGCCUAAUACAUGCAAGUCGAACGAGUUCUCGUUGAAUCUCGGUGCUUGCACCGAGAUUCAACAUGGAACGAGUGGCGGACGGGUGAGUAACACGUGGGUAACCUGCCCUUAAGUGGGGGAUAACAUUUGGAAACAGAUGCUAAUACCGCAUAGAUCCAAGAACCGCAUGGUUCUUGGCUGAAAGAUGGCGUAAGCUAUCGCUUUUGGAUGGACCCGCGGCGUAUUAGCUAGUUGGUGAGGUAAUGGCUCACCAAGGCGAUGAUACGUAGCCGAACUGGGAGGUUGAUCGGCCACAUUGGGACUGAGACACGGCCCAAACUCCUACGGGAGGCAGCAGUAGGGAAUCUUCCACAAUGGGCGCAAGUCUGAUGGAGCAACGCCGCGUGAGUGAAGAAGGCUUUCGGGUCGUAAAACUCUGUUGCUGGAGAAGAAUGGUCGGCAGAGUAACUGUUGUCGGCGUGACGGUAUCCAACCAGAAAGCCACGGCUAACUACGUGCCAGCAGCCGCGGUAAUACGUAGGUGGCAAGCGUUAUCCGGAUUUAUUGGGCGUAAAGCGAGCGCAGGCGGUUUUUUAAGUCUGAUGUGAAAGCCCUCGGCUUAACCGAGGAAGCGCAUCGGAAACUGGGAAACUUGAGUGCAGAAGAGGACAGUGGAACUCCAUGUGUAGCGGUGAAAUGCGUAGAUAUAUGGAAGAACACCAGUGGCGAAGGCGGCUGUCUGGUCUGUAACUGACGCUGAGGCUCGAAAGCAUGGGUAGCGAACAGGAUUAGAUACCCUGGUAGUCCAUGCCGUAAACGAUGAAUGCUAGGUGUUGGAGGGUUUCCGCCCUUCAGUGCCGCAGCUAACGCAUUAAGCAUUCCGCCUGGGGAGUACGACCGCAAGGUUGAAACUCAAAGGAAUUGACGGGGGCCCGCACAAGCGGUGGAGCAUGUGGUUUAAUUCGAAGCAACGCGAAGAACCUUACCAGGUCUUGACAUCUUUUGAUCACCUGAGAGAUCAGGUUUCCCCUUCGGGGGCAAAAUGACAGGUGGUGCAUGGUUGUCGUCAGCUCGUGUCGUGAGAUGUUGGGUUAAGUCCCGCAACGAGCGCAACCCUUAUGACUAGUUGCCAGCAUUUAGUUGGGCACUCUAGUAAGACUGCCGGUGACAAACCGGAGGAAGGUGGGGAUGACGUCAAAUCAUCAUGCCCCUUGUGACCUGGGCUACACACGUGCUACAAUGGAUGGUACAACGAGUUGCGAGACCGCGAGGUCAAGCUAAUCUCUUAAAGCCAUUCUCAGUUCGGACUGUAGGCUGCAACUCGCCUACACGAAGUCGGAAUCGCUAGUAAUCGCGGAUCAGCACGCCGCGGUGAAUACGUUCCCGGGCCUUGUACACACCGCCCGUCACACCAUGAGAGUUUGUAACACCCGAAGCCGGUGGCGUAACCCUUUUAGGGAGCGAGCCGUCUAAGGUGGGACAAAUGAUUAGGGUG